UACAUCUUUUUGAAACUUACAACCAAAUCUUUUGAAGCCAACUAAUUGUUAUUUCAAAUUCCUGGCUAUUAUGCAAAUAUUCUUCGUAUUUUCACUAUUCUAGAUAUUUGUUGUUUACUCAGCAUUUACAAUAAGUGGCCUUUUACUAAACGCGAUAAACAAAAAUAUGUUUUUCGCUCUAACCUUGCCAUUGCAUCAUAAACAGUCACCGAUUUCUCGCAGGCUAGUCGGUCGUUUAGUCGGUUAGUCGGUGGAUAAGUCAGCUGGUCAGUCGGUGGAGCGAGCCUCCUGCUCACCUCGUUUGGAGCAGGUUUUCUUGAACUUCUUUUUUCUGGCCACUCGCAGUCACACAGCUGGUCACGCCCCCUCUUCCAAUGUGGAUAACCAAGUUGCUGGCUGUGACAAUUCCGAUCAUUGUGUAAUUUCUUAAGCAUCUUGGUGGAUAUCUCUUUUUAUAUUAUAUAUAUGAAAUUCAAGCCAAAACCUUUCAGGUUUUUCUGCCUAACAAUAUAGAACAGAAAACCAAGAUAAAUCGAACGUUUCGCUGGCUGAUCGAGUAAGCGAUCAAAUUACACUUUUUUUCGCUCAGUGAUUUCUCGUAAGAGUAUACGAUAGAAAGAAAAAAAACAAAGUAAGCAUUUCUAGAAUAUGUACAGACAAUUUUAUUUGCAUUAUUAUGUUCGCCCACGAUAUUGUACCACUGCAACAUAUGCAUACUUAAACUAAACUCUCUAAGUCCUGAUGUACAAAAAAAAAAAAAAUGGUUACAUAAAUAAUAAGUCAAGAAUUCAAGUUCCGAUUGAUGUACACGAAUGGGGGAAUAUAUGUAUAAUACUGCGACUGCGACCACGCCUACUUGCGCUUGAACAUGUUGCUGAGGCGUCGCUUGGGCGGCGAGUUCUGUAAAGGAAUAAGUGAACAUGAUUACACAUAACGAACAUACAUAUAUCAUCAUCAUAGAUCAUCAGCAAGAUUUGUGCGUUUCCCAUUGCUUUCGUUGCCGCUUCUAAUUGCGUCCGGGGCACGAAUAGGUGAGAAAGACGAGCCCCAUUCCCGACAAGAUGCCAGUGAUCACCAGCACUAGCUUGUCCGCCAGAUGCAAGGACAGCCCCACCAUGACCAGCAAUGCAAAGCCCAUGACCAAUCGCUGGCCAAGACUCAGAUGGCGUAGGAACCGCCUGCACUGAGCCAUUAACGAGCGGUGGCGCGUUGGCCUGCGCUGUUGCAAGUCCGAUGGUUGCUGGACAUAGGUGAUAUUGAUCUGCGGCAGCGGCUGCAUGUGCACACUGCCGAUCGAAUAGACUGUACAAGAUGAGGCGCCGGUCAUGUUGGUGGCACAGCUAGUCGUAGUGAUAUUACUGCAAGAGGCGGCCACCAGUUGUGUGAAUUUCGGCUCAACUUGCUCCUCAUCAAGCGGCUUGUAGUCCAGCGGCUGCAGCUGAAAGGGUGCCGUGGAUUCCGUCUCCUUGCACAGCUGCUCGAAGUACCAGUCGUUCUGGGUCUCCUCCAUCAUCACACUUUCGCCACCAUGCAUUGCCCAGGUGACACAGUUUUCGUGCUCAAAUUGUUGCUGCAGCAGCGAAGUCUCGCUGCGCUCCUCCACGUUGAAUGUGGUGGACACGACCGGACUCAAUCGCCUCUUGCCCACCAGCACUACCGUCUUGCCCAUCACGUUAUUCUCGCUGGGCAGGUGCUCCUCCUCGUUGCGAUUGUGUAGACUGUAAUUGUUAUUUUCGGGCGACUUGGCCGCCUGAGCAGAGUGUGAUAGGCGCAUCUGAUCCAGGUGACGGGCCUCAUCGAAGCGUCCCAUUAUCCGAUCACGGCGCAACUUCCGGCGUAGCUGCACCCUUUUCCCGGCUACGAACGACGCUGGCCGGCUCUUGGCAAAAAUGUUGCCAUGAAGGGACAGCGAAACGCGUCCUUUUUUCGACUUAGUUGUGCCAGUGAGACGCCGGGUAUUGCCUUUGGUCAGGGCCAGCAAUGCUGCAGUGGACAGAUGCGGAGUGCCCUGUUGGUCGGCGUCUUCUAGAGGCUCCAACUCUGGCACAGCAUCGGGCUCCACUUCGAUCACUUCGUCUUCGGUUUCAACAGCCUCUGAUUUGUCCGCAUCACUGGCGCCGAUCAUACGCUGCUGAUCGUAGUAGGAGCGGCUUUUGCGUGGCGUUGAUGUACAAAAUAUGUCCACCGCAUGGCGCAGCCUACGCCGGUGUAUUCCGGUCAGAAGAUUCGGCCGCUUGCGCCGCGGCAGCUGUGGGAUAGGCUAGGCGUAUUUGGUCAGUUGCCGGCUGCACUCGAGCCACAAGCGAAGACAACACGAGAACACCACGAGGACGAAGACACAAACAUGGACGAAGCACGAAAGCAAGCAACUAUGGCACAUUUGACGUUCCCAAUAAACUACAGCUUUUGACUACUCUAUUGACCAAUGACACUGAACUAUGGCACGCACAUCAAACAUAACAAUCUUCCCAAUACUUACCUCGUCCCGGGGUAAACCGCUGCUGCCAACGCUGAAUCGCUGCGUCAGGAACUUGAAGCGCGCCGGCGUCUUGGAGGUAUUGUUAUGGUCGCCGAAUUCACGCAAAAUCUCGCGUGGCGGCUCCGAGCUACCGAAUGACAAACGGCCGCCGUUCUUGCUCGGCGUGGGCGGUCCAGGUCGUUUGUAGUGGGUGCCCAUGGAUUUCUUGCGCGUUCCGGUGCUCGAAGAGCUCAGCAAAGCACUCAUGCUGUCAUCCAGACUGUGGGGUCCGUCCUGCAAAGAAUACAAACAGUAUAAAUAAGAAUUGCAGAACUGAAGACAACGAAAUUUUUGGACGGCAACUGGAUUAUUGUGACACAAAAAUAUAUAUACAACAAGGCACUGAUAAGACGAGCACACAGCAAUUUCUAGACACAACAGACACUUCUAACUACAAACGUAACGUGGACAAAAGCUCACUCGGUGUCUAGUUAGGGAUUAAGAUUAAUGGUUCUAUGGGCGACGCAAAAUGCGUGCCCACUUAGCCUUCAUGGCUGCCUGCUGUGCCUUUAACGGUGUGGUAUUUGUGCCGUGUCUGUUGCUGUUGCUGCUGCUGCUGCUGCUGCCACUACUGCCGGCGUAUCUGGCACUGGAUGUCGGAGAACUGCUAACGCUUACUUUGAGAUCUUCGUCCUGGCUGCCCAAAUCAUAUUGGGCAGCAUAAGUGCUCUUCAAAUGCGGCGGUUGCAACGAAUUCCGAUAAAUCAGCUCCUCGGCUCUGCAUGGAGAAAAAAAGGGUACAUUAAUUUUGAGCAUAGAAAUCGGGAAGACCCAGUGCGCUUACGUCAUGUCUGCCGGCACACGGCCCAAUUUGAGAUCCGUCAGGUAAGUGUUGUUAAAUACCUCGCCCUCUUCAUCUUCCAUAGCCAGAUUGGAGGACGGUACAUUGGGCCGCUUGAAGGGCUGCCAGUCAUCGUUCGGCGCCGACGAACUGGACGAAACGGUGAGCGUUGUGCUGGAUGGUUUCGUUUCGCUGAUGGGCUGCAUCUGCAGGUGACGCAGAUUGGUGCUAAUGAUCGCAUGCUGCUUCUGCUGCUCCAGAAUCUUCUCGUUCAACCGUACAAUCUGAUUGGAUAGCUUGCGUGUAUGCUCUUCGUAUUUGGCAUUCUGCAAGUAAAUGGAAUUAAUAACGUAACUUCGCAAGCAGCGAGCAUAUCUAUCUACCUGUGCGGUGAGUGCCUCCAGCUCCGACGCGCUUUUGGCCGCAUCCCGUUCCUGCUUCUCCUUCAUGCGCGUCACCUCCGCCGUAUACAAGGAACGCUACAGAUGGAUGAUGUUGUGUCAAGUGUCCGUGUGCGUGUGGGUGAACGUGGACGAGUUAGGGCAGUGUAUAUAGUCAAGUGAAGGUGCGCGUGUGGAUUUCGGGCGGCACGCAUUUUUAAAGGACGAAAAUGAGCGAGAAACAGCAGUGAGGACAUUGACGACAAUACAAACAAUAAUAAUAAAAAAACAACAAAAAAAACAUUCUUGGAAAUACAAAUCGCUCAUUUAUCAAAUAUGACUUAGUACAUAUCACAAAAUGUAAAAAACUUAUAACAAAGUCUACCACGUCAUGUGUGGCCCUAAUACACGAUAGGACUGCGCGACUUAAAGAUUACAUUGAUGCCACUUAUGUACAGGAUGUAAUACAAAAAAAAAACGAUUAAAAUAAUUAGGCCAAUAAAAAGCAGCAUUAAUUGCGGCCAUCGCCGACGGCGUGACCCCUUCUUGGGUUAUAUAUACAGUUUUCGGACCGACCGCAAUUGUGAUUUUAAAUGGGUGAUUUUCGUGGAAAGAUAUUGGGUGGAAAUAGAAAGGAAAGAUAAAGCAUUUUUAGUUUUAUUGAUAAGGAAAAGUGAAUUAAAUAAAUCUAGUUAGCUGCAAUCGCUAAAGCAAAUUUGGAAAUCUAACUAGAAUCUGCUUGGGUUCAGUAAUUGAUGAUGCAGCACGAUUAUGGCUAAUGUGAUUGAUGUGAUUGAUGCAAUUGCUAAAUGAAAUUUUAAUUAAACUUAUGUAUAACAUCUCCUCCUUCUGAAACGUAUGCAUUUUCGCAUUUUCAAACGGAUAAGAUUGAAAAUUCACUAUACAUAUAGUUUGAAUACCUGAUAAUGCACUGUGAGUCAUUUCGAGGAGCUUAAGUUUAAUAGUUUACACUGAACAUAUAACAUCAGCUACGUCCCAUUUCAAAACUAGUUAGUAGUUAAACGAAACAAUGACAUAAACAUGCAAAAGCAAAAGCAAAAAAAAAAUGGCAUGGUGCUAAAAUAGGAUGACAUCUUUAGGUUUUGUCCUCCGCAGACAGCCAAGUAAAAAAUGGAGACACCAAUUUGUACUUGGUGGCACAAAUCAUGCGAUUAAGGAUAACAGUGACAACUCGCGACCAUGCCAUUUAAUGGAAACCAGUAGUUUUCCGUUUUUGGAAUCUCGUUCUAGUAGUUCGCAGCGACUUACCAUCUUGUUUUUCAUCUUCUCCAGCUUUCCCUCCAUCUCAAGACGCUGGUCCUUUAUCUUCUUCUCGCAGCGCUUAAUCUCAUCCUUGGCAUCGCGAUACUUGGCCUGCAAUAUCUUGCAGUCUAGCGCUAGCUUUUGGUAUCUCUCCUUAUCCUGAUCCGACUCCGUUUGGCGUCCUUCAGCCGCGCUAUAUGUGUCGCCAAGAUCUCUUACGCCCUCCGCCUGGUUAGACUGGAUGGAAUUUAGUUCUUCCAACUCUUGGUUGGAAGCGAGAAGCAGCCGUUCAAGAGCUUCCACGCGAUUCCUAUAGAAUUCGAUGAGUUCACACAACUCGGCAUUUUUAUUCCCAACUUCACGAGCCGUCUCCUCCAUCCUUAGUAUCUGGGCGCCAUGCUCGAGCCGAGCGUUGUCCAACUCCCGGGUAAUUUCGUCUAAACGUCCGGUGACCACAGCCAGUUUAUUCUGGGCCUCUUCACGCUCGGCAGUCUCCGCUUCCAAGCGAUGCUGCAGUUCGACUACCUUAGGUAUAUCGGUGAUCUGGGCUAGUUGGUCCUUGACCUGGUUAUGCUCGGCGAUUUCAGUCAUUAGGCGACUCUGAACGAAAUCCAACUUACUGACUUUCUCUGCCAGCUUUCGGUUAAGAUCUUCUACCAACGAGUUGUGGGUAGCCAUCUCGGAUUUUAGCUGAUGAUGCAAGCACUCGACCUUAAAAGUUUCCACUUGCAAUUGACUUGACUUGACGUUGUCUUUUUCUUGGCAACGGUUCUCCAACUUAUUGAUCUGUUCGUAAGCAGUCGCACGCUCCUCUUCCAUCUGAGUACAGCGCAUCUCCAAUGUUUCGAUUAUGUCUUCAAGGGUGGCCAAUUUCACCUCGAACUCACGCUUUUCCUUCACCAAUCGCUCCUUGACCAGGAAAACCUCUCGCUGUGCAUCUUCCUUUUGAAGCUUCAAGUCAUCUGAUAGUUUGGUCUGUGCCUCGAAGGCCGAAUUAACCUUAGCCAGUUCUUUCCGUUCCUUCUCCAGCUCCACUUUCAGGUUAUCUACAAGCUGCUGGACGGAUUCCUUUUGACACUCCAAAUCAUCUGAUAGCUUGGUCUGUGCCCCAAUGGCAGACUUAACCAGAGCCAGUUCUUUCCGGUUCAUGUCCAGCUCCAGCUUCUGGCUAUCUACAAGCUGCUGUCCUUCCUGCAGCUUUGCCUGCAGUUCCUCUAGUUUUGUCGACAUAAGUACACAAUUUUCAAGUGCGUCCUCUUUGAGCUGUGUUAAGCUUUGAUUUUGAUUUCUCUCCAAGUGCUCGUUUUUCUUAGCCUCCAUGUCACAUUUAGCUUGAAGAGCUUUAAUCUGUUCUUCAUACGUUUCCUUUAUCUGGGCAAUUUUUUCAUCAGAUGACUUCAGUUUGUUUUUCAGAUCUUUCAGCUCGCACAACUUCAUGGAGAGGUUCCUUUCCGAAGCCUCCAGAUUUUCGAUUAUUUUCGCACGAAGGUCUAACUCUUUUUGCGCUUUUAACAAACUCUCAUUCAACUUUGAAUGCACGGUAUGCGAUACAGUGUUGUCCUCGCUUAACUUUGCGUUGACCUUCUCUAGGUUUUGGAUGGUGUCGUUUAGCUGUUUUAUCAAGGCACCCGAAUGCUGGUUGGUAUCCUUAUUUUCUAGCUCUACCUGUAGCUCAGCCACUUGCAUCUCCAAUUUUGCUUGAGAUUCCGUGAGCUUUUCUACCAACGACGAGGACUCCUCGUAUCGCACCUCCAUCUGGUCAUACAUUUUUAAAAAUUCGGUCAUACAAGUGCCCAGCUGCUGUGGGGUGUUUACGCCAUUGAAAUCUUGCUGAAGGCGAUCCCUAAUGGUAUUGAUAAACCUAAUGGCUUCCACAUGGUAGUCCUUUAUUUCCUGCUGUGCUAUGUCUAACCUCUGUGCCAUUUCUUUCGCAUUGCUUUGCUCCUUGCUUAGAGUAUUUUCCAGCUGGACUACCUUUUGCUUUCUCUUGAAAGCUUCUUCCUCUAGAUCUGUUAUGUAUUGCUUCACUUUUUCGGUGUUGACCUCUAGAGAAGUGAUGAAUUUAUUGCGUUUUAUUAUUCCAUUGAUGUUCUGCUUAGCGAGCUCCUCAUUUUUCGACCGAAGAUCAUCCAACUCCCGCUUGAGAUCAUCAGCCGAAAGCAAUUGCCCCUCAAUUAACAUUUCAAUAUUCUCAAACCGCUUUUCAAUAUGCAUCGAUUCCAGAAAGUUGGUCGCUGAGCCCAUGGUCGUGGAUUUCGGACAAUUUCUACUUCUUAAGAGUGUAAAGAUGCGGGUCAGAAAACGAUCAAAAUGAUUGUUAUGCUCAUCGAAUGCCAUGAUCUGUGCAUUCUUCGUUUCCAAUUCGAUCUCCGUUCUCUUUACAAAGUCUAGAUGGGAAUGCGUCAUGUUGUCAUGUUUAGCGCUGAGUUCAUUUAAUUGCUUCAGCAUCUGUGCAUACAUCUUGUUAUGUUCAUCAUGCAUCAUCUCCAGAUCGAUCAGUUGGCGUACGCGCCCAUUUAAGGUCUCCCCAUCUGGCACCAUCAUCAUCCGGACCAACUCAUCUUGGGCCGCGUUCUUAGCAAUUAGUUCAUUUCGACACACUUCAUACUUGGCUCUUAAAAGCUCACCGCACUGCUUCAAAUGCUGUGCAUGGCUUGCCGCACUGGCCUCUUUAUCUGCAAUUUGGCUGAGCAUAUUUUCAAGGUUUAUAUUCCUUUUGCGCAGCUCCUGAAUUUCAGCGCCCACAUCUUUUAUCUGCUUUUCCUUCUCGAUUAGCUGCAGAUUGAUAUCGGCCAAAUGUUGAUCCCCGCGAUCAAUUAUUGAUUUAAGCUCAGCGCAUUUAUCAUUAAGCCUUUCGUUGUCUAACUCCAGGUCGUUGUUUUUCGAUGCUAUAUCGACUACCUUCAUAUGACAACAACUCAAAAUGGUUUCACACUCACGGCUCGAUUCGAAACCCGACUCCAUUGCCUCCGGUAUUGUGGCCUCGAAUCCAUCUAGCUCUUUUGGCUGGCAUCCCAGCGAUACAGAUAACAGCUUGCAUUUCUCCAGUAGUUUUUCGACGCACACAGACUGAACGUCGCAUUCCUUCUUCAUUUGCGUACUCUUCUCCAACGUGUUAACAAAUUUACUUUCGAUCGCAGAAAUGGUGGACAACAGGGACGACGAUGUCCAUUCUACCGGAAACUCGUGAUCGAUAUUGUGCUUCUGAAGGAAACUUGAAAGGGCCUGACAUAGCUCCCGCUGGGAAUUGUUCAGAUUCAGCAGCUUCUCCUUUAGCUCGGCAUUCUCAUGCUCCUUCUCGCGCAACUGUUUGUCAAUCACGGAACUGGCCAAAUUCUCGGGCGUGGUGUUCGGCGACAGCGAACAGUCGAGUAAAUCCGAGGAUGCGUUUAAGACCUCGAUUCGGUUGUGCAAGUCGUCGCGGGCUUCUUUAAGGCACUUAUCCAAUUCCUGUUUAUCGGACUCCAGAGAGGAGAUCAUAACGUCCCUGGACGAUACGAUACGAGUCAAGUCGUCUACACGACUUUCAAGGAAUCGAAUGCGGUCCGUAUACUCCAGCAAUCGUUUUCCUGCCAGAUUCAGCUAUUUAAUGAAUGCAAGAUAUAACAUAUAUUAGAUUUCAUUAUGAAUUGAAUGUAAACGAAUAUAAUCUAUACAGUUGCUAGUUUUUCGCUAACAUUCGCACAAGACCCGGUGGAAUUUUCUUUAUAGUAUAGUCCCUAUAAAAUUGAACAGGUAGCUUACCUUCUCGGACAGCUCGGAAUUUUCGACACGCAAAUCAUGCAGCUUAUCGGUAAUCUCAGCGAUGAGACUCUCCUUUAGACCGAUUUCCUUUAAAAGGCAUCCCUUCAUCUGAAAUGAGGAUUAAAAGUUUUAUUAGUUUAUAGCUCCCGCUCGCUACCUGUGACCAUCUGCGCUAGUCUACCUACAUGCUCAAACUCAUAUGGCAUAAUGUGGUGGCUCUCGUUAUCGUGGUGCUCUUCGGUUAGCUUCACGUUUCUUAGUUUUUCUAGUUCCAUCUUGGCCAUCAUUUUCUCUGAAAUGCAAACGAUUAUGAAAUUACUUGUAAAAAAAUUAUGAAAGUAAUGCAUUCGAAGCAUUCUAACCUUUGUUGAGAACUUUAAUGAGCUCGUCCUUCUCCAUUUGCUGCUCCUCCAGCAAGGCCUUUUCGUAGCGCACCACCUCCAGCUGGGUACGAAUACCGCGCAGCUCCUUGGUGCGUUGCUCCAGUAGCUCCGUUUUCGGGGUCGAAGGAGGUGGCAUUUCGCAGCCAUUCAGGCGAAGUUGUUCGCGAUGAUUGCGCAACUGUGGCGUGCUGCUCGACGGCUGUGACGAUGACGAUGAGGGCGUGGAUGGGCAUGGUGCAUCAUCGCUCCUCGGAUCGGGACUCAGGCUGCUGCUGGGAAGACAUGGGCUGACUGAGGUCGAAACCCCUUGUCGGUAAACAACUGCAACGUUGGCGAUCGCCUGGCUAAGAUAUUCGCGCGUCAACAGCCUGUCCACGGUCUCUCGAAAGAAGGAUGCGAUGCAUGUCUGUGUCAGCUCCGGCAGUUUAUUGCAGAUGUUGUGAAAGAACAAGCUGGGCUUCUUAACGCACGAGUAAUGCAACAGGAGCGUGUAAACGUAAAGGCAAUCCAAAGGCAGAUCGACUUCCUUGUCAUCCUGUUGUGCAAUGAACUCGGGAUAGUUAUCUGCAUGGGAAAAUUUACAAGUUAGUGGGUUCAUGAAGUUGGAAGUGCGCUAAAUUCUCAUACUAAGGCUUCACUAUUUAUUAAUGUUUCCCUAUACCCUAUGAGAAACUAGGAAAAUAGGUAAAAAAAAACUUACGUGCUAGGAAUUCCUGCACAAGGGGGCUUUGUUCUGUGGGCUGAUCCUGCAGCUCAUUCUUCCCCUUAACAUUUUCCGUCUCCUGGAUCUUUUGAAUGAAGACCGAAAAGAAGGAGUCCAGAUCCGACUGCUCCAAGGUAAUGUAGUUCGAUUCGAUGAAGUGGCACUCGCCAAUCUGCCGCAGAAUUGGGUUAAUCUAAAUGAUUCCCAGUGCGUGAUGCGCAAUGCGAGAUUUACAUACCCACUGGAGUAGGACCUUGCGCCAGCUGCGCGUGUCCAUUGCGAAUUUUUGUGCGUUUUUAUGGGUGUGUGUGCGCCCGUAUAUGUAUGCUCAAUGUCUGCGUAGACUAAUCACACUAUCAUUGUUGGCAUCCAGUAACGGAUGUUUUCCAGAACACGGCACAGCACACAAAACAAUGUACGCGAAACAAACGGGUUUCGAUCGAAAACGCAAUUAAACAAAAAAUAUAUUUAGCACAAAUGCUCACGAAAACCGAAUAUUUGUUUUUUUUUUUGUAUUUUCCAACCAGAAGCACAACUGCUCCGAACGAGCAAUGAAAAUUUAAUGACUAAACUGAAGUCCGCAGGGCAACAAACAAUUUUGACAGUUCCACAAACGAAAACAUAGGUAACUAGAUACGAAAAAAUGCAACAACUUCUCGUUUCGGCGGCGCGUCGUUUAAUUCAAAUGCCGCAGCGCGACGCCAUGCGAGGUGCGCUCGGGUAUUGUUAUCGGGCGAUCGAUACUUUCCAGCUGCAAGCCAGGCCGCGUCCACUAGAUGCGUUUCUGCUAUCGAUAUCUGUGCGAAAGAAGUGGCUUGUGUUUCCACCAUGGCAUAUUGCAUAAUUCAAGAAACAAAUGUUUCACAUGAAAUUUGAUAAAUAAUUCAAUCUACUUUGUUACGAACUGCUUUCCUGCCUUAGUGGAACGGCUCCAACUGCAAUAACCUGUUGCUUUAAUACCAAAGUAUCCAAAGUAUAUAGUGAUAUUUUCAAUUGAAAUUAUCAAUUAAUAUAUUAAUAUGUAAUUAAUAUAUAUUAUCUAAUGUAAUUUUCCAAGUAUGGAAAAACUAGUUGAAUCCCGCUAUGCUGAAAAACUAAGCAAAUUCCAUAAUUGAAACCGCCUUUUGUGUUUACCCCAAUCUCACACAUAGAUGGCGGCACUGGUCUACAAUGCGAAUUUCCUGCCAAGUAAACAAGCAACCAAGUGGCUUCUAUUUUGGCGGGGAAUUCCAAAAUCCGAUGGCCAAUAGCGACCGAGUGUGGCCCACCACAUGUAAACUAUUAAAUUGUAAUAACAAUAAUCAAUGACCGAAAACAAUGUGCCCGGAAUUGCCACCCACCCAUCCUCGUUUCUGGGCACGCACACGAGCACAGGGUAGCCGAAAAUCUAGUUAUAGUGCUGAUCGUUAAAAAUAACGCCACCAUUAAUUCGGACAAACAAUGGAAAUGCACCGCUGAUGUACAUGUAAAGCAAAAAAAAAAAAUCAGAGAAAAAACCAAACAUUUUAACGUAAGGAAGUAGGCAGAAUAAACAAUAUGGUGGUGCGAAAACGACAAGCGGUUCAAAAACUAUUGUCUAAAUUAAGCGUUACAAAAAGAAAGCCAUCAGCUUGAUCGAAAAUCAAUAAUUACAAUACUUGAAUUUCAACUUGAAAACACCUCGCCAAAAAAUCUCGAACUAAACUAUUCCAUAACUAUUAGUUUUACAACUCACUUAAAUCAAGUUGUAAACACACGAUUUUGAAAAUAUUCAAAAGCCAGAUGGGCUGAACUAUGUGCACAAUACAAUUCUCACGUAUUUAGCAUUGAUUUCGUUACGAAGAUCGGAACAUUUCCUUCCUUUUGAUUGCCGUCUAUUUAUAAAGGCGAAUUUCCUGUUUAUAUUUUUUAUAAUACAUUUAUUUAGUCGACACAAUGGCGAGGUCGGGCCUCCGCCCCCCCCCCCCCAAAAAAAAAAAAAAAAGAAAGAACUACUCCACUUCCACAUGCAUAUGUACAUCCAUCCAGAUGGUUAUAUCUCACGGAAUCGAGCUGACACGCACCACCUGCGCCAGUGGCAACGUGUCCAGGCGCUGUAGUCGCUGUCGUUUCUCGCCGGGAUUGAGCUUGGCCGCAGCACUGGCCUGGCCACCUGGACUGGCGACCGUACUGCGACCUGAUCUCGUACCCGGACCAGAUGCGCCAGCUGAAUCCGUGCUAUCGCUCUGCGCCUCCACCAGUUUGACAUGGGCGAUGGUCUGACCGAAGAGCUUCUGCCGGAAACUGGGCCUCUUGGGCGCUCCACGAUGCACGCCAAUGUCCGGCGUAUGCGAGCGCUGAUGGCUACGUUGAUGAUGAUCAUCUCGCUCCACGGAGCGCUCCUUGUGACGAUGGCGUCGCUGCUUCUUGCGGUGCUCACCGCCACCGUUGGGCAGCAGCUCGUUGACGUAGUGCAGCGAACUGGAGGCACUGCCCGUGGAAUCGGUGCCGGAGUGACCAUGAUGCGAUUGCGCCUUCUUCGCGUGGCGCGCAUGCUUCUCCUCCAGCUCGAUUUUGUUCUUUAGCGUCACCUCCUCGAUGUGCCGCUCCUGGAAAAUGAAAGAGCAUCGCUGAGCAUCAUUCAUUGGCUUUCCUCGUAUUUGGUGUGUCCUACAAACAUGGCACGCCUGUGCUUGUCCCUCUUGGCCAGGACGACCACCCAGGCGCCGUAAGAGAGCAUGAUGCCCGCCGGUACCAGGACGCCAGCCAGCGAGUUCUCCGACUUCCGGACGCAGGCAUGGUAGACGGCCAGGAAGAGCACUGUGGAAAUGGAUUUGAGUUGAGUUCGUGGCUACAGUCGUGCUUCGCUAACAACGACCAAUUCAAAAUGAGCAUGCGAAAGUCGGUGGCAAUUCGAUUUGCGUGCUCUAAUUUAGUUUAGUUUUUAGUUUUGUUUACCAGUUAAGAAUUCGAAAAUGAUUUUAAUAAUGGUUUUCUCAAAAAUCUAAAAGAUCUUUUCAUGUAAGCAUUAUUAAAGAGAUACUUAUGAAUUUAUACCUAUGUAUGUGAAUAUUUUUCACUUGGCUGGUUUGUGUUAGGCAGGCCUGACUGUAGUAUUACAAAAAUCCCAAAAACUUACCCAGAAAACAGACGAUCACAGCCACCAGACGUCCAUUGGCUUUUCGCUCCUCCUGCAAAAGGACAACAUGGAUAUAUGGGAAUAUGAGAAACGGGGUCACCAAUUCCAAUCAAUUUGCAAAGUUGCAAAAUUGGAUUGAGAAUUUUUCAGGGCUUUUCAGGGUUGGCUCUCUUUUUGUUUUUGUGAGUGAUGCCAUAAAAACAAUUGUUUACAAUUUUCACGUUCCGUGCAUAUAGAGGCUUAUACACGGCAAAAAAAAGUGCAAAUAGGUAAAAGCAAAGAAAUCUACGUGCAUUUCUAUGCUGGACAAAAAGAAAAAAGUGAUAGUUUCUUGCAAAUAACAAAAAGUUAAGUGCCUUGGAUUUUGAAAAUAAGAUUUCAAAAAUGCUUAAAUCAACUUGGAUGCCAAUUAAUUUGUUUUUAAUUGCACAAAAGUUUCCGAAAGGGAAACUCAAUACCGAUUUGAUUAUCUUACACUUCAUAAAAUGGCGUGAUUUACACAAAAACGCUUGGGCAUUUUUUUUUUUUUUGUGUAUAUCUGGGACUUUUGUUGAUUUCGCUUCGUUAUUUGUUGAUCGCAAAAUGCGUGCCUGAUUUUAUACAAUUUGUAUUAAAUAGGUUUGGAAAUUUUCAAAAAAUAAUGCGUAUGCAUGUCAAACUCAAAUCAAUUAAUUUGGAAACACGCUUCUUCCAGUGUCAUUUUCUGCACUUGCUGUACAUUUUCCAGUUAACUAUUAAAUGGCAAAUGCAUUCUUAACAUCCACUGUAUGUGCAAAAAGAUCUAAGGCGAAAACUAAACGAACAUUUCGGAUUUUAUGAUCGGACACACAUUCUAUUCCAGUGAUUCCCAUCGAUAAUGAUGGCGCCACAAACGAUGGCGUCGUACAAACUUUGAGAGACGUCUGCAAAUCUCGGAAAAGCUGAGGAAAAUCUGAAAGUCACAGUGAUCCAUUCGUAAAUGACGUGCACGUAAAUCAAGGUGUUUCCAAUGAAUCACAACACGGUGAAAAAAAAAAAAAAAAACGAGAGCACUCAUGGAAUGUCCAUAUGGUUAUUGUUCAAGUUUUGUUUAGUUUUAAGCGAUUCAGUAAUAUAUGUAGAUGAAUGAAAAAGAUCACAGUCAUUCGAUUUUUAAUUGAGUACUGAAAAGUUAAUUAUUAAGUUCAGGUUUCUAAACUUGCGAAUUUGGCAUAUUUAAGAUAUUGUAUCUUCAUUUCGCUUCUUAAGAUACUUUUCAAAAGCACCGCCUCAAAUUCAAACUUACGCGCGACUUGAGGUCGAGGAUCUCGUUGAGAUUCUCCUGAAUGAUCUCCUCCUCCGACAUGGACGUAAUGCUCUUCCGGGCCACCAGGGAGGUGAGGGCAUCCGGCGACUUGGGCACCGCCGGAUUGGAGCACACUGUGCCCGUUCCACGCGGCAUGGCGGCCGGAAAUUUUGGCACCGGCUGGCGAUUUGAGGCGGUCGCGGACAUGGGCGUGGCUCUGCGACGGAAUAAGUGGCUUACGUACUAGUUCGGUUUGAACGGACCGCAAAAAAACAAUCGAGUUUCGGAACGGAGUGUAUUCAAAUUUUCGCAAAAAUUUCACAAUUUGUAUGAAGUGAAGAUCGCGUCCGGGCGGCGAUCAAAAAUCGAGUGAGAGGCGAAAUUGUGUGGUUACGAGCCCAAACCUCCUCGUUCCUCUUUUUUUUCGCGACUUCGUUCGAUUUCUGCGGGCGAUUUGUUGUUAUUUGUUGUUUAUUUACAUUGCAGUAAAUAAUUGUACGGCUGGCUGUGUGUGCCCCAAGUUCAUAUCGAAACUGAUGCGUAUAUAUAUAUAUAUAGGUAUGUGCGUAUGUGUGUAUGCACACAUCGACCGAAAUAUGCAGCAAUUAAAUUGUUUAUUUUUAUGCAAAAGAUUCGCAGCUAUUUUGAAAAACGAUUAUCGAUACAAAUGAGCGGCAGAAGGUAGGGGAAAAACAUGUUUUUUUAAUUCUGUUCUGUAUAUUUAAAAAAAUUUU
ensembl:ncRNA asRNA:CR46473 antisense RNA:CR46473